UACGUAGGCUGCUAGCGUUGUCCGGAUUUACUGGGCGUAAAGCGCGCGCAGGCGGCACCCUAAGUACGAUGUGAAAUCUCCCUGCUCACCUGGGAGUAUGCAUUGUAAACUGAGGAGCUAGAGGACGGUAGAGGGGGGUAGAAUUGCUGGUGUAGCGGUGAAAUGCGUAGAGAUCAGCAGGAAUACCCGUGGCGAAGGCGGCCCCCUGGGCCGAACCUGACGCUGAGGCGCGAAGGCGAGGGGAGCGAACGGG
rnacentral:rRNA from 1 species